CCAGCUCCAAUAGCGUAUAUUAAAGUUGUUGCAGUUAAAAAGCUCGUAGUUGAAACUCUGAUUGUUCAGGCCUUCAGCCAUUAGGCGAGGGCUCUGGCAGUCAUCCGCUUGCAAACAUAUGUUCGAUCUUUACCGGUUGGCUAUGUGAGUAAGCAUUUUACCUUGAGAAAAACAGAGUGUUCCAGGCAGGUUUGUCCGGAAUGCAUUAGCAUGGAAUAAUAGAACAUGACUGAAGUCUAUUUAUUGGUUAAAGGCUUUAGUAAUGAUUAAUAGGAACAGUCGGGGGCAUUCGUACUCAGCAGUCAGAGGUGAAAUUCUAAGAUUUGCUGAAGACGAACUAAUGCGAAAGCAUUUGCCAAGGAUGUUUUCA
rnacentral:rRNA from 1 species